AAAUGAAUAGACGGGGACCCGCACAAGCGGUGGAGCAUGUGGUUUAAUUCGAGGCAACGCGAAGAACCUUACCAAGGCUUGACAUCCCGCUGACCGGUGUAGAGAUACACCCUCCCCUUCGGGGGCGGCGGAGACAGGUGGUGCAUGGUUGUCGUCAGCUCGUGUCGUGAGAUGUUGGGUUAAGUCCCGCAACGAGCGCAACCCCUAUCUUUAGUAGCCAGCGCGUCAAGGCGGGCACACUAGAGAGACUGCCGUGGCAACGCGGAGGAAGGUGGGGAUGAGGUCAAAUCAUCAUGCCCCUUAUGUCUUGGGCUACACACGUGCUACAAUGGCUGCAACAGAGUGAAGCGAACCUGUGAGGGUAAGCAAACCACAAAAAAGCAGUCUCAGUUCGGAUUGCAGGCUGCAACCCGCCUGCAUGAAGUUGGAAUCGCUAGUAAUCGCGAAUCAGCACGUCGCGGUGAAUACGUUCCCGGGUCUUGUACACACCGCCCGU
rnacentral:rRNA from 1 species